CUCGAGUUUCGGUAAUCUAAGAAUUGGUGGCAUCGGAAGAAAGUGCACUGCGUCCUCAAGCUUUUCAGGUGCAUCGGUGAAGCCAAUGGCGGAACCGUUGUUAGACAAACAUGGAUGGUUGCUCAGAGUUAUGGGCUCAACAUCUGAGUUCACGCGGAGCAGAGAUGUCUCUUGAAAGUGCAUCUACUCCCCUAAUUUAUUUUAGUGAUUAAUGAUAAUCAAAUAAUGAUGUCUAAUGAGUUUGUGAGAAUGUGAAGGUAUAUCUAGUCCUCAUGAGAGAACUUGUUGCGCCAACCACGUUACAA
rnacentral:lncRNA from 1 species